rnacentral:rRNA from 1 species
GACUCUUGACAAUGAAUAUCUCGGCUCUCAAAUUGAUGAAGAAGGUAGCGAAAUGCGAUGCUUGGUGUGAAUUGCAGAAUCCCGUGAACCAUCGAGUCUUUGAACGCAAGUUGCGCCCGAAGCCAUUUGGCCGAGGGCAGGUCUGCCUGGGCGUCA